GCGAGCCCGACUCCCGCCCACUCGGAGGGCACAUCCUCGUGGGAAAAGGCACGAUAAUGUGGGGAGCACACAUGACAUCACGUCUCCUCUCGCUGGCCCCUGCCAUCGUGCCUGCACCUCGCCACGUGUAUCCAACCUCGUCUAAUCGGCCCAGCUGCAAAACACUCCGAGAGCCACUUCCGGUUUGGAUUGCCCACAGGCCUCGGUCACCAGAAACUUCGCCCCAGAGAGGGGGCGGUGCUUGAUCCCCAGGUGGAUGCGCCACCCUGUGGGCAUCACCUGGGCCAGGGCUCCCGUGCCCCGUUGUUUGGCCUUUUGGAAGCAGCCCCUGGUGCAGAGUAGGAUGCUCAGGCCAAAGACACAGAAGUUACAGGUCAUGAGGAGCGCAAGUCAGUGCUGUGCAGGUCAUGUGGUGUGCUGGUCACUCCUGGGUCACGUGGGGGACACCGAAGCAGGCCUUUUCCCACACCUCAGCCUUUCUUCAUGUACACCAAGCCGGGGCCCAGCUCCAGGUCAGACUCUGCCCUGGAGGGUCACUGAGGAUGUCCUCGGUCUUGCAGAAUGUCCCCACGCACCUUGCCCAGGAAGAUGAGGCAUUCCUGGCACUUGGAUCCUGCCAGCCACGUGGUCAGGCACCUUUGGGAACAGUCAUAUUCGACAGGAAGAGCCCUCUGCCAUCCAUGACUCAACCAGUGCUCCGCUGCUGGUUUACUUAAGAAUGGCGGCAAGAUUUUUGCCUCCUGCAUCCCCGCGAGGCCUUAGUGUGCAGACGACCGGUGCCUGGAUACAUCAUGUCUGCAGAGGCUAAAGGUGGAAAAUCCGGGGUUAAGAGUGACAAAGGGGAGAGGGAGAGUAAUAAAGCUCAGAGACCUGACUUUCUCUGCUGCUCUGGAGAGGAGAAAAACUCCUCAUUGUCUGGAAAACUGAAAAUGCACACGGCUUUGGAAAAAAGAUUUUUUAAAGCAGUUAUCUGUGGAUUCUAGGUUGCCGACGCCAAGGCGUAACUGUCUUACAAACCCCAACUGGCAGACUGUGUUUCUCCUGCAAAUGGCUUUGAAUACCAGGUUCUCAGAGUAAAACAGCCUGGCGCUCAGGAAGAAAAAGCCCUGUGGCCAAGGCCCGUUUGCACAAUCCCUGGGCCUCACUGACUAGGAGACGCCUAAAGAAAGAAAGAGCUAGCCUGGACUGUGGCUUCAGUGAGAACAAUCUUAUUUUAAAAAACCCCUAGAGGCCGACUUUCCCUCUUAGGCAGAAGCUAAGAAACUUGUCUCAGGAGAUUUUUCUUUUGCUGUUGAUUCUUAUCGGCAAUACUCCAUUCCAGAAACAUCCCUUGCAGUGUAGCACACAGCUCUGUCUCCAGUAUGUGGUCCCAAGCCUUGUUUGACUUAACCUACGAUAGAAGAGAAUGACGUCCUGCCAUGUGGCACUUCCUGGAAAGAGCCUCCUCUGCUGUGGACAUUAGGAUACCUCUGCGUUUACCAGCAGAGUGGCUCAGGGCCACUUGUUUGCCUUCUUGGAGCUAUUUCUCUGUGUACAGCCUGCCUCCCAGGUGGUCCUGUGGUCGCGAGGGUCAAGGAGACUGUCAGUGUGCAGGCUUUCCUGGAAACGGUAGAGCAUUGUACAAGGUUUCAAUGAGAGAACUGGAGCUGUGCGUGGAGGAGUUGCUGACCCAAAGCUGCCUGGCUUCCCGUACCUGACGUCCCCGCGCGUUUCCAGAGCGCCCGCAGACUUCCAUUCUUCCUGGACUGCGCCCUGGAAAAUGUCUGCAGUGCAUGCAGAGUCACCAGGGUGAGUUGGAACUGGCAUAAGGUUGAUCCGUCACUCAUAGGACAUCACUUGCC